rnacentral:rRNA from 1 species
CCUACGGGCGGCAGCAGUGAGGAAUAUUGGUCAAUGGACGCAAGUCUGAACCAGCCAUGCCGCGUGCAGGAAGACGGCUCUAUGAGUUGUAAACUGCUUUUGUACGAGGGUAAAUCCCGAUACGUGUAUCGGGUUGAAAGUAUCGUACGAAUAAGGCUCGGCUAACUCCGUGCCAGCAGCCGCGGUAAUACGGAGGAUUCAAGCGUUAUCCGGAUUUAUUGGGUUUAAAGGGUGCGUAGACGGUGCGAUAAGUUAGAUGUGAAAGCCCGGGGCUCAACUCCGGCACUGCCUCUGAUACUGUCGGGCUAGAGUUUAGUUGCGGUAGGCGGAAUGUAUGGUGUAGCGGUGAAAUGCAUAGAGAUCAUACAGAACACCGAUUGCGAAGGCAGCUUACCAAACUACGACUGACGUUGAGGCACGAAAGCGUGGGGAGCAAACAGGAUUAGAUACCCGUGUAGUC